UGGGGAAUAUUGGACAAUGGGCGAAAGCCUGAUCCAGCCAUGCCGCGUGUGUGAAGAAGGUCUUCGGAUUGUAAAGCACUUUAAGUUGGGAGGAAGGGCAUUAACCUAAUACGUUAGUGUUUUGACGUUACCGACAGAAUAAGCACCGGCUAACUCUGUGCCAGCAGCCGCGGUAAUACAGAGGGUGCACGCGUUAAUCGGAAUUACUGGGCGUAAAGCGCGCGUAGGUGGUUUGUUAAGUUGGAUGUGAAAUCCCCGGGCUCAACCUGGGAACUGCAUUCAAAACUGACUGACUAGAGUAUGGUAGAGGGUGGUGGAAUUUCCUGUGUAGCGGUGAAAUGCGUAGAUAUAGGAAGGAACACCAGUGGCGAAGGCGACCACCUGGACUAAUACUGACACUGAGGUGCGAAAGCGUGGGGAGCAAACA
rnacentral:rRNA from 1 species